AAGUCGUAACAAGGUUUCCGUAGGUGAACCUGCGGAAGGAUCAUUAACGAAGAAUUGGGCGCGUUCGCGCGCCCUUCUCGUCCCCACCCUGUGCACCGAGACCUUUUUUUCGCGCCUAGUGAAGUCGAGGAUGACCACGAAUUUAAAAUGGCACAAAAUGAAGCAACGGAUCUCUUGGCUCUC
rnacentral:misc_RNA from 1 species